AUACAAAACAUCAAAUGGCUGGAAUCAGCUACCUUUGUACGUUCGACUUUCAACGCUAAUUCGAUCUUCGAAGAUGCAUACUUGACAAGUGAACGAAGAAAAAUGUGAAAAGAAAAACCACAAUAAGCAUGCAAAGAAAUCAAGCGUUAGUUUCAUACUUCAAUUUCAUAAUUUGGAUUUUUGAAGCAAUAACAGAAUGGCAUUAACCAUAUAGA